ACGCUCGACACCUACGGGAGACAGCAGUCGGGAAUAUUGCGCAAUGGAGGAAACUCUGACGCAGUGACGCCGCGUAUAGGAAGAAGGUUUUCGGAUUGUAAACUAUUGUCGUUUAGGGAAGAAAAAAAGACAGUACCUAAGGAGGAAGCUCCGGCUAACUACGUGUCAGCAGCCGCGGUAAUCUGAGCGGGCUGGCAAGGC
rnacentral:rRNA from 1 species